ACUGGCAUGGAGCAUUUAAAAAGAGCAAAAGGAAGAAGUGCUGGUCAGAGGGGACCAAGGCAUCCAGUUAGAAUUCUCCCACCAGACCCAGCCACCUGUGGCUGGGCCAAGGCAAGAGCUCCCUCUCCUCUCUGCAGUCUCUGCAGACCCCACAAGGGUGGAAAUUGCAGGCCACUGAGAGAGAAUGAACACAGGCUUCUCCCUCUCUCCCCCCCCAAGGAAGCUGUGCAGGCACCGACCGCCAGGCUCAUCCCCGGCUAGGGAAAUCCUGGGGACAGGAGCCACAAGCCACUCGACGGGUUAGAGGACAGGGGGUGCAUUUCUAACCCCGUCCUGCGCCGUUGCAGAGCACAACUGUGGGGCGGAGGAGCUAUCCUAAGGCCCUGACACCCUGGGGACCUAACUUACGAAACCAUGAGAAACAAGUAGGCAAGAUUUCCAAACAAAGCAGCCAUUUUUCUGGGUGAAGGUACUAAGCAUCCUUCUCCAUGUCUGAGCCAGUUUCCGGCCAAGGCACAGAGAGCAGUGGCAUGGUGGCACAGCUCACCCGCCGUAUCUCCUGCCCGCAAACGAGUGAGCACCACCAUGGGGCGGGCUCUCGGACCACGGGCUGGGGUCUCUCAGGGGUCCCCACCACAGCACCAGCCUCCUGCAGGAUGGCACCCCACCCGGGGCAGGCCCUCUGGGAAAUCCGACUCCUGAGGUUUCUUAUAUUGAUUUAGAGCAAGGGAAAUGCAGAAGGCUCAUCUUUGGAACAGCUUCAA